GUCUGGGAAACCGCGGGCUGACGAGGUUGCUCACGAUCGGAGAUGACCAACGCUGAUCGACGCUGUGUAGGAGUGAGGGAAUUUAAAAGCGAAGCGCGAACGUGAUGUUCAGGAAAUGAGGAUGCUGCGUGGGAGUCUCGGCUUCUCGAGGGUGAACUGAGAGGAAAGAAAGAGAUAAAGUCUUCGGGUUUUAGAGCAGGAAAGGAACGAGUUCUCGGAGAUGAGCCGAACGCUGUGAAGCUUGCACUUGUUCCACUAUCGACGAUGUAUAAAACACCCGAGGUCCACGGACGAAAAACAUGACAAAUGAAUUCAAGGAAGACGUGGCUACGAAUAAAUCACGGAGAUGGAAGCGCGUGCAUUGGAAAUUUGGCGGAAUGAGGCGAGAAAUUGAACGGAUCGUCG
rnacentral:misc_RNA from 1 species